GGACCUCAGAUCGGACGAGAUAACCCGCUGAAUUUAAGCAUAUCACUAAGCGGAGG
rnacentral:rRNA from 5 species